CUUUUGAUGUGUUGUUACCGGUGACGUUAGGUGCGACUUUUUCGUAGAUAACCCAUUGAUGGAAAGAACCUGUGGUACCAGACCUGAAAGGGCGAGGGUCUGAGCCGGUGUGGCGACUCUGAGGUUUCACUUUAGGAAUUUGAUUUAGAAAGUCCCAAUAUUUUGGUCAUUUCUUUGACCUAGAACGACCUUUCUCAAAGAAAAUUCUCUCUGAGCUCAGACGUUCGGCCACAUUGCUGUGACCUGGAGCUCAGCAUGUUCAGCUGCCAAGCUUUGCUUUCAGAGGUAGUGCUUUUGCCGCGUGCCCUGCUCUGGUGAACGGCACCCCUCUUCCAGUUUAUAUAUUUAUAUUGAGAGAGAGAGAGUGUGUGAGGGAGAGAGAGAAUCCCAGCAGUCUCUGUGCUCAUCACCAGACCUGAAAUCAACAGAUGCCUAACCAGCUGAGUCACCCACGCACGCCUUUUCUCACCUUUUUUUAUGUUACUGACUUUGGAAAUACUUUGAAUGGUUCAUAAUAACUUUGUUUUGUCACUUAAAACAAAAACAAACAAACUUACUUUUGAA